rnacentral:misc_RNA from 1 species
CUUCUGGAGAAGUGGCCCAUCCAAUUAUAGGGGAAUCUCAAUAAAGACAGUGUACAUUGCCAAUGAAUAGUGAUUUGCUUUUUCUUUUUCUUUUUCUUUUCCAUGUACUUAUUAAAGUGGGUAUUCCAUUACAGCCUUUAAAUUGUCACAUGAUGCAUGCAAUUCAACUUUAUUUCAGUGAAUAUGAACUUCCAGCCAUAAAAUCNNNNUUACCAAGUCAAAUUCAUUAAUCAAAUACCACCAUGGAAAAGCAAUUGAAACCGAGUGUCAAUAAGAACAGGCUUUGAAUUGUUCCAACUUUUCUGGUUUUUUUUUUUUUGGUCAUUUGCAAAAAUUCAAAACCUAAUGGUAGCAAGUUUGACCUUAUAAAAAUGUUCUGUUCAAAAAUAACAUAGAAAAAUAAUCUGACUGGCAUUUUUUGAAAAGUCUUAAAGUUGACAAAAAAAAAAUGUAGAAAAAUCAA